AUGCUGAUCUAUGGUGAUGAUCAAAGACCCUCAGGGGUUCCUGAUCGGUUCCCUGGUUCCAAGGACACCUCGUCCAGUGCUGCCUCCCUGACCAUCUCUGGGGUGCAGCAAGAGGACGAGGCCGACUACUACUGCCUCUCUUAUGAGGCUGUGAGCACCGUGGCCUGGAUGCCUCUCCUCCUCAUGAUCAUCUCUCACUGCACAGGAUCCUGGGCCCAGUCUGAGCUGACUCAGCUGUCUUCAGUGUCUGGGGCGCUGGGCCAGAGCAUCGUCAUCACCUGUGCUGGAAGCAGCUCCAACAUCGGGGGUUAUAAUGUGCAAUGGUACCAACAGCUCCCAGGAACAACCCCCAAACUCCUGAUACAUGAUAACAGCAAUAAGCCCUCAGGGUUCCCUGAUCGAUUCUCAGGCUCCAAAUCUGGCACCUCGGGCUCGCUGACCAUCACUGGGCUACAGCCUGAGGACGAGGCUGAGUACCACUGCCAGUCACAAAGCAGCACCAUGGGGUUGCAUAUUUUUAUAUCUGGUUCAAUCUUCCUACUAUUUGUGUGGUGGCUACUACUCUAA